rnacentral:rRNA from 1 species
UACGUAGGGUGCGAGCGUUAAUCGGAAUUACUGGGCGUAAAGCGUGCGCAGGCGGUUUUGUAAGCCAGAUGUGAAAUCCCCGGGCUUAACCUGGGAAUGGCAUUUGGGACUGCAAAGCUUGAGUGCGGCAGAGGGGACUGGAAUUCCUGGUGUAGCAGUGAAAUGCGUAGAGAUGUGGAGGAACACCGAUGGCGAAGGCAGCCCCCUGGGCUGAGAUUGACGCUCAGGCACGAAAGCGUGGGGAGCAAACAGG